rnacentral:rRNA from 1 species
UACAGAGGGGGCAAGCGUUAUUCGGAAUUAUUGGGCGUAAAGGGCGCGUAGGCGGCAUUGCAAGUCGGAUGUGAAAUCCCUCGGCUUAACCAAGGAAGUGCAUCCGAAACUGCAGUGCUUGAGUACUUAAGAGGAUCGCGGAAUUCCCGGUGUAGAGGUGAAAUUCGUAGAUAUCGGGAGGAACACCAGUGGCGAAGGCGGCGAUCUGGGAAGAUACUGACGCUGAGGUGCGAAAGCGUGGGGAGCAAACAGG